ACGGUUAUAAAUCAACAUAUUGAUUUAUAAGCAUGGGAAUCCCCUGAGUGAAACAACGAAUUGCUGUGUGUAGUCUUUGCCCAUCUCCCACGAUGGGCUUUUUUUUAA
rnacentral:other from 1 species